rnacentral:rRNA from 1 species
AGCGAACGCUGGCGGCAGGCCUAACACAUGCAAGUCGAACGCCCCUUCGGGGGCGUGGCGGACGGGUGAGUAACGCGUGGGAACGUGCCCUUUGGUACGGAACAACUGAGGGAAACUUCAGCUAAUACCGUAUGAGCCCCCAUUCUUAGCGGGAUGGGUGGGAAAGAUUUAUCGCCGAAGGAGCGGCCCGCGUUGGAUUAGCUAGUUGGUGGGGUAAAGGCCCACCAAGGCUACGAUCCAUAGCUGGUCUGAGAGGAUGAUCAGCCACACUGGGACUGAGACACGGCCCAGACUCCUACGGGAGGCAGCAGUGGGGAAUCUUGCGCAAUGGGCGAAAGCCUGACGCAGCCAUGCCGCGUGAAUGAUGAAGGUCUUAGGAUUGUAAAAUUCUUUCACCGGGGAAGAUAAUGACGGUACCCGGAGAAGAAGCCCCGGCUAACUUCGUGCCAGCAGCCGCAGUAAUAC